AGUAGCUCAGUGGUGGAGCUCCCGAUUCGUAUGCGGGAAGGACUGGGUUCGAUUCCCGGCU
rfam:Toxocara canis scaffold306, whole genome shotgun sequence.